rnacentral:rRNA from 1 species
UGCGGAGGGUCAUUAUCAAAUAUGAAGGCGGGCUGGAACCUCUCGGGGUUACAGCCUUGCUGAAUUAUUCACCCUUGUCUUUUGCGUACUUCUUGUUUCCUUGGUGGGUUCGCCCACCACUAGGACAAACAUAAACCUUUUGUAAUUGCAAUCAGCGUCAGUAACAAAUUAAUAAUUACAACUUUCAACAACGGAUCUCUUGGUUCUGGCAUCGAUGAAGAACGCAGCGAAAUGCGAUAAGUAGUGUGAAUUGCAGAAUUCAGUGAAUCAUCGAAUCUUUGAACGCACAUUGCGCCCUUUGGUAUUCCAAAGGGCAUGCCUGUUCGAGCGUCAUUUGUACCCUCAAGCUUUGCUUGGUGUUGGGCGUCUUGUCUCUAGCUUUGCUGGAGACUCGCCUUAAAGUAAUUGGCAGCCGGCCUACUGGUUUCGGAGCGCAGCACAAGUCGCACUCUCUAUCAGCAAAGGUCUAGCAUCCAUUAAGCCUUUUUUUCAACUUUUGACCUCGGAUCAGGUAGGGAUACCCGCUGAACUUAAGCAUAUCAA